GCAUUAGACUGCAGACGUAUUUGGAUACUAACCAAGGUCCGGUUAAGUUGGUUCUGAAGACUGUGUUCCACUCGUCUUCAGUCAGAUCUAAACUCGUCUUGACAUUGCCUCUGAUUCCAGCGUUGUUGAUCAACACAUCUAUCUUUCCGAAGAUGUCCCAAGCUUGUUUGACCGCUUUUUGAAUGGUGGCUGCGUCUGAUGAAACGUCUAGCUCGAUCGGUGCGGCUAAUUGGAUCCCGGUUGAACUUAAGCUGUUGAUUUCAGAGCAAAGAGAUUCGAGACGGUCGACACGGCGAGCUGCUGCGAUAAUCUUACAGCCAGCUUUGCCCAGAUCAAGACAGACUUCUCUUCCUAUACCAGAAGAAGCUCCGGUCAGAAGAACCACUUUGUCUUUAAGCUCGCACCAUGGCUCUAGUUGCUUCAACAUCUGCUUCUCUCCCAUUAAAAAGAAAACAAACAAAUUUGAGAUUAUAAAUGAUAGAAACAGAUGAAAGACAAAUUCCGUGAGCUAUAUAUAUGAUGAAGAAGAUAAGACAAAUUAAAAGUUAAUUCAAGAUAAGAUGAGAUUUUAUCAUGAAGUUAUAGUAAGGAUUGUACUCCCUCUUUUUUUUUUUUUUUUUAAAGAGUGUCAUUUUAGGUUUUUUUUCUUGUUACAAAAAAUGCGUUUUGGAUUUCGAAUGCAAUUUUUACUUAAUUUCAGAUGAAUAGUAAUUGUAAAAUGCAUUGAUCUAAUAAAUAGACUUAUAUAUCUUAAAUAUUAUUAGUCAAUUAGAUAUAAUUAAUGAAAACAUAAAUACAUUUUAAUCAUUUUCUUAAUAUGUAUGAAAAGUGUCUAAUUGAUCACUUAUAAUGAAACGAAGAAAGUAUUCAAAAACAUAUAAAUCUACAUAAAAUGAGAGAGAGAGAGAGAGAGAGAGAGAGAGAGAGAGAGAGAGAGAGAGAGAGAGAGAGAGAGAUUUGUCUCACCGUGGUUUGAUGACUGUUCAUAUUACUUUCUCUGGUGUUUGUUCAGUGAAGAAGUAGAAGGCCAUAACACAUUUAUAAAGCCCUAGGGAGAGGUUGGUUGGUCCGGAUAUACCUUAUGUAUUUAGCAUUAAUUUUUACUAGAGCUUAAUCCGCACGCCCGUAUAUUGGUUCUUACGUUUUUAUAAAUUGAUAUUUUUUUUCAUGAUUAGUAUUAUAUAUUUUAGAUGUGUCACCAUAUGACUAAUUGCAAUCAAAAGAUCCGGACUGAAUCGGGUAAUAUAGUUAUUUUUGGUACAAGUAUUUCGAAUCCAUUCCAAAUACAUUAGUUAUUUGGAUAUUUUUAAGUUUGUAUACAUCAAAACCAACCAUCUAAACUCUGUAGGACCCAACUCAAAACUCACACAUAAACUUUUAAAUCCAAACGGGGCCUAAUUACAAAAUCCCAAAAAAAAUCUGAUACCCGAAAGAAACAACCCGUACCUGAAUGUCCAUGCCUAACUGAUUCUGUAAACAAAUAAAAAAACUCUUUCUGUGUGUUUGGCUAAAUUAAGUAAAAUAGAAAGCUCUUUAAUUUAGUAAAAAAGUUAUAUGGUCUGAAAAAUUAAGUGACAAUAUAUGUAAUGUGUUUUUAUUAUUUUGAUUUAAGUUAUUAUUUUGUUCACAUUAACUUUGUCUUUGAAUUAUGUGUUUGGCUACGUAAUUUCCCACCGAUUGAAACUAAGAUAAAAAAUAGUAAAAUAGUAAAUAAAAAUUUUAACCAUAUGCAAAACCCGGUUAUUUUACAUGAUUUUUAUAAUUGGUACAAAGUUAAUUUUGAUUAAAACUAAAAAUUUUCAAUAUUAUUAUUAUGGUUAUGUAACUAAUGAUGUAAUGUAUUAUUAAUGUAAUAUAAUUAAUGAAGUUGUUAAAGUUAGUGAAAAUGGAAUGAUAAUUAAUGUAUUAACUUGUUGGAAAAAAGUUAGUUCUAUUUGUACUUCAGUUUUAAUAACAUACUAGGUUAAGACCCGCGCCUUGCGCGGGAUGAACAUUAUAUAUAAAAAUAAUUUUAUGUAUUAAAUAUUUUUACAUAUUAUGAAAUAAUAAAUAUAUAUUGAAUAAAUUAAAGUCAGUAACUAUUAAAUAUAUAAUUAAAUUGGUCUGAAAAUAUAAAUCAAUUUUAUUAAUCCAAUUUUGUUUUUAAUAUUUGAUAGGAUAUGUAAUUAAAUUUAAAUGAUACUAACAUACAUAGUAUAUUUUAGUAUAUUUUUAAUAUUAAUGUCUAUUAAAUGAUGAUUUCUACUCAUAUAAUUUAUUUUUAUCAUUUGUAUCUUUUAUAGAAAAAUAUUUAAAUUACUGAUAACAAAAUUUUCAUUGUGCAAUUAAUAGUUUUAAUAAUUUAUAAUUUAAAAAAAUAAGUUGUCAAUGUUCGUUCAAAACUUUUACCAAAAUAUUGUUCAAAGUAAAUUUUGAAACUAAAAGAUUUAUGUAUUUUAUAUGGUUUAUAGUUUAAUUUAAAACGAUAUAUAUAUAUAUAUCAAUCUUAAUAAUUAAUUAAAUUAUACUUCUUACUUAUAUAAUUUUGUAAUCAUUUGAAUGUGAGACUUUUAACAGUUUUAGUAAUUUAUAGUCGUUUUUCGAAAUUCAAAAUAUAACGUUUACAGAAAAAUCUAAAAUAUUUAUUAUAUGGUUAUUGUGGUUGUUUAAUUUAUUUAAUAGUUUAAAAUUAAACCAAUAUGAUAGAACAUACACUAAUUUUUAUCAAAUCUUUAUUAUUCAAAAUCAUUAAUUGUCAUAUAUAAUUUAGCCACAUUAGGCAAUUUCGUAAAUUUUAUUUAAGGAAAUAAUGAAGUACAUUAAUAAUGAAUUUAUUGUUAGUUUAAUAAAAAAACUUAUUAUAUAAUUAGAUGGACCAACAUAUUUCUCUAAUGAUUCUAAGAAUCAUCCUAAUGAUGACAUGUGGCUACAAAAAGAAGUUGUAAUGCUUCUCAAAUAAUAUAUAGAGGACUAGAGAUUGACCCGCACACCCCCGCACAUGUAUUGCUUCUUACAUUUUUAUACAUUUAUGUUUUUUUUUUCAUAAUUAGUGCUAUAUAUUUUAGAUGUGUCGUAAUAUAACUAAUUGCAUUCAAAAAACAUGGAACAAAUCAGGUAAUAUUAUUAUUUUUGGUACAAAUAUCCUAACCCAUUUCAGAUAUAUUUGUUAUUUAGAUAUUUUUAGGUUCCUAUACAUCAUAACCGAACUCAUCCAGACCUAGAAGAACCCAACUCAAAACCCACACUUAAAUUUAUAAUAUUCAAGUGGGCCUAAUUUAUAAAAAAACAAUACCCGAAAAUAACAAUCCGUAUCUAAAUGGAUAUCCAAUAUUCAUGUCUAACUAAUUUUAUAAACUAAUAAACAUGACUCUUUCUAUGUCUUUGGCUAAAUUAAGUGAAAUAAAAAGAAUUUUUUUAUUUAGUAAAAUAAUUAUAUAGAGUGAAAAAUUAAAGGAUAAUAAAUGUAAUACAUUUUUAUUAUUUUAAUUUAAGUUAUUAUUUUAUUCACAAAAAAAUAUAUUUGAAUUAUGUUUUUGGCUAUAUAAUUUUCCACCGAUUGAAACUAAAUAUGAAAAAAAUGGUAAAACAAAGUAAACCAAACUUUUAAUCAUAUGCAAAACCUUGUGGUUUAUGGUUGGUAACGUAAGUUAUACAAAGUUGGAUAGUGGUUUUUUUUUUUUGAACUACUGUUGGAUAGUGGUUAACGCCAACGUUUUCCACAUUAGAAACUCAGUGGUCAAUGAUACUUGGAAGAGUAUGGGCCCAGCGAGUCUUGAGUACGCCAAGUGGGGUUCAACCCAAAAGACUACUUCCAAAGAUGAGUUAUUUCCCAAGUCAGAUGAUCAUUUCGGUGGAAUCUAUGGUGAUAAUACAGAGUGGGAGACUUUGGAAUGGAACGUCAUGAAUGAUUAUAAAAAAAAAGAGAGAUGGAGAUACAUCUAAUGUUUGGGGUUAUUGGUUUCAAAGCAAAAGAAUUCCAGUGCCAUGAAUAGUUACAACAAAGCAUGUUAUCUCCUGCAGCGGGAGUGUUUGGAACGGAUUGCAAUGUAACAGAUGAAUCGUGUCCAAUGAUCUUUUUAGAAAAAAAAAACAUUUACUCAUAAGAAUUGAGAGCCGUAAGAAAGAUCUUAUAAAACCAAGAACGAAGUAGAGGAAAACUAACGAAUCAGCCUAUCCUACGGAUGGGUUAAGAAGCAUCGUGUUACUGAUGUCUAUGUUAAAAAUUCUUAUUAACAACAUGUUUGAUGUAAUUUUUGAUUCAUGUAAUAUGUUACAUUGAUUUGAUAUCAACAAAGUUGAGAUGUUAUAAGAAAAACAUAUGCAAAAACUAAUUAUUUUACAUUUUUUAUUUUAUGACUGGCACAAAGUUAAUGUUGAUUAACUAAUAAAUAAAGAUCUGCACUAUUAUUAUUAUGGUAAUAUCAUUAAUGAUGUGAUGUAUUGUUAAGCUUAUAUAAUUAAUGAAAUUGUUAAACUUUUUGAAAUAUGAAAAGAAAAUUAAUGUAAUUAUAUCAAUGAAAUUACUAAAAGAACACCAUAUUUCUUUUUUUUAUAAUGCUAUCCAUGUUUCUAAAUAAUUCUAAUUUAUUAUGCUAUCCAUGUAUCCAAACAGUACUAAAAGGUACUUCAGUUUUAAUAAUGUAAAUUUAAAAUCAUAAAAUUAAAUUAAAAAGUCUAAAAAAUGGUUGUAGAAACCUUUUCUAAAUCAUUAUAUAAUAAGGUAUAGACAAAAACAAUGUGUAAUAAUAAUUUUUCAUUUAAUUUUCAAUUUUAUAAAUUUCUACAGUCGCAUUCCAACCAAUCAUUCAAAACAUGCUUUCAAGAUACACAACUGAUUUUGUUUUUUUUAAUAAUGCAACUGAUUUUGUGUCAUAACCAAAAUAAUUAGGUUUUUCUAAUAUUUUAUUAUGGUAAAUCUUGUUUUUCACUGUUUUAUUUUCACUUAUGUAAUAAUAAUUUUCCAUUUAAUUCUCAAUGUUAUAAAUUAUUUAAAUUUUAGUUAUUUAACAAAUAUGUUAUGAAAUAUUUCACUCUACUAAAACUAUUAGAGAUGAUUACCUAUUACCAAGUAAUAGUAUUUUUAAACAUUGAAUAAUUUGUUAUUACAAACUACGAAAACUAUUACAGAUGAUUUCACAACUGAUAAUUCUAUAUGUCUUAUAAGAUAUCAUAUUUAUCGUAGAGUCAUCCAAUCCUAUGGAAUCUUCGUUUGACAGUAUGAUCUACACUACACUAUAGAUCUCUUGUAAAUCAUGUUUUCUCUCAGCCCAGACUUCCUAAUAUACAAAUAUUAAUGAACCAUUUGCUAAACAACAAAACAAAAGGUUCUCGUACCUAAUAAUAGUAUUAUAAAUUAUUUUUAAUCACGAGUUCCACAUGGGCGAUGAGAUGAUAAUGACAAGAUAUUUGAGUGGACUCCACACCGCCACGCUUUCAAAUUUAGACUUCGAAUGAUACGAACCAUCCCGCUCUACACCACAGUUAACAGUAACAAAAAUCUCUACAUAUAUCAUAUAUCUAUACGUUUUUAUAAUUGUUAAAACCGUAUCUCAGUUAAACCGCUUGUCCCGCACCGCUCAAACCACAGUUACCAUUCAGAGCAACUAAAACAUUGUGAAUUAGUAUAUAUUAAUACCUAGGCAAAGACUCCUAUUCAUAUGAUUUUAUGAUCAUAAAAGUCCAAUAUUGGUUGAGGAACAGGUUAUCAUUUUAGAAUGUGAGAUACUCUCUAAUAUUGGUUGAAUUGUAACGGUAGAAAAUUUACUUUAAAAUUUAGUCUAUAAGAUUUUUUGAUUUACCUUUAAGAGAUGUAACUUUCAAAUUUCCUACAAACAAAAAGAUUGAGCUUUAGAAAAUAAGAUUUUUACAGUUAUUUUUUUUUGUUUUUUUUUUGUUGUAGCUUUAAUUUUUUGGUUGUAGCUUUAAAAACUAAUAUAAAGCAUGAUUUGUGAUUUUUAAGCCCGUAGAUAAAAAUUAAAGCUAAAAUCACUUGCUACACCCCAACCAAUCACCCCAAUUAUUGAUCAUGUAUUAAUAAGUAAAUGAUUUAUUUCCUUUAAAAUAAAAUAAGAUUAAGACUAGAGGUCGUUAUCUCAACUAGAAAUGACAUUGGCUAUUGCAUCAACCAUUGUCAUGACUAAUAAAUAAAUCUAAUAUUACAUAUUGUAGUUUCGGAUCUAAAGCAAUUACGGGUAUCAGCCCUAAAAUUGCUGGUGUUUAAAUUUUUUUGUUUGUUUGAAUUGAAUGUUAAAUUGAAUUCAAAACGAAAAAUGUACUUUGCUUUACAUCAAGUGUAACAUUUCUAAAAUUUUCAGAGAAUAAAAUCUAUCAUCUCCUAACUUGUUUUAUCUUGUGCUGAACCAAUAUACCAUUCCACCUUCAAACUAUUUUACUCCCUUCUUCCUUAUGAUAGAAAAUUUAUUCCUCAUGUUUUUGUCAAUCAUUUUGAUUAACAAAGUUGCAGGUGAAGGAGACUCUCCAUGUCUUCUUCUGUUUCUCUCCCUCCAAAUAGUGUGGAUUGCAGUUUGAAGAACAUAUCUCACUAUAAAGAGCUUGAGUUUCCCUUGGGUAUGAUCCAAAGCUAUCCUGAUUACUCUCCUCCAAUUCGAUGUGUAAUGAUUCUCCAGCACUCCCUUCAUCAAAACUUCCCAUAUCUGAGCAUAGUAUGGGCACUCAAAGAAUAAAUGCGAGAUGGACUCAACCGUAUUCUGGCAAAGCACACAAGCAGUGUCAACAUUCCCACUCCAUCUACUCAUUCUUUCACAUGUUGGAAGUAUGUCAUGCAAGGCAGUCCAUAGCAUAAAUGAGAAUUUUGGAGUAGCAUAUUUGAACCAAACUGCCUUGUACCAAUAACAACUCUGACGCUUCUCUUUGAUAACUUCCCAUGUUUCUUUCACCGAGAAAGAGUUUUUGUAAUCUCCUUUUCCAUUCUUCAAUAAUGAUAUGUCUUCCUCCUCAACUAUAUUAGCUUUAUAUCUCUCUAUCUCCAUCUCAACUCUAUUAAAGAUGGGAGCUCGAUGAUGUCUCCUUCUAUGUUUUCUACAGACCUUGACAUUUGCAUUUACUGAGAUUCCCAUAUCAAUAUGACCUCUAUCUUGUAUAAUAUCUUUCAGACAUCCCAAAGAUGACCAAGAGUCAUACCAGAACGAAGCCUUUUGCCGUUUUUCACUUCCACCCGAUAUAGCUUCUUUGCAACUUCUCUACAUUUUAGAAUUUUCUUCCACACAUCCAAGACCAUGUCUAUGUCGUUUCUUUGAUUGACCACAAUGAUGCUUUCCUUAUCAAAUACACCUUUAUCCAAUUAACCCAAAGAGUAUUAGCCGAUAGAAUCCUCCACACUAGCUUCAAACUGCAUACCAAAUUCACAUCCUUCAGUCGUCUUACUCCUAACCCACCUUCUUGUUUGGGUUUACAAACAUCUACCCAAGAAACUAGCCUUUCGCCCAUUUAGCUCUGAUCCAGACCAUAAGAAAGUCGAACAUAGUUUUUCAACUUCUUUGAUGCAAUAACUUCGGAGUCUAAAAGCCGCCAUCCAGAAAUUAGCCAAACUUGUAAUUACAAAGUUGAUCAACUGCAGUCGUCCAGCGUAUGACAGAAAUAUGUUCAUCCAGGAACUGAUCCUUUUUCUGAUCUUUUCAGUCAGAGGGAGAAAAUCUAAAACUGUCAUACUCUUUGUUAGCAGAGGGAGUCCUAGAUAGCGUACCGGCAGAGAUCCAGCUGCAAAUGGAAAUUGACGAAGAAUGUCUUCUUGAUUUUGACUUGAGAUACCCGCCAUGAACAACGUAGACUUCUCCAAACUUAUCUUAAGCCCAGUCAUUUUAUCAAACUUCUGAAAUACUCUUAAAAUCCCCUCCACAGAACUCUUCUUCCCAUCAGAAAAAACCAUCAAAUCGUCAGCAAAACAUAGAUGGGUAAGGUCUAUGUUCUUGCACCUCGGGUGAUAUCCUAUCUCCUCCUUCUUUGCUGCUGUGUCUAACAUCUUCGACAAUACAUUCAUACUAAUAACAAAUAAGUAUGGAGACAGUGAGCACCCCUGCCUCAACCCUCUUGCACUUUGAAAAUACCAUGCUAGCUCCCCAUUUAUUUGCACUGAGAAUGAAGCCGUCGUGAUGCAAAGUGAGAUCCAAUGUACAGCGUCUUUAGAAGGAAACACCAUUGAACUGAAUCAAAAGCUUUUGAUAUGUCAAUUUUUAUUGCACAACGAGAUGAGAUAGAAUCCUUAUGAUAAUCUUUUACCAGCUCUGUGGCAAGUAGCACGUUCUCCAUAAGCAAUCUUUCUUUGAUAAAUGCAGAUUGGUUUACUGAAAUACAUUUCGGCAGUAAUAAUCUUCAGUCUAUUCGCAAUAAGCUUCGAGAUUACCUUAUAUAUUACAUUGCAACAUGAGAUUGGCCGGUAAUCCUUCAUCUCCUUUGCCUCUUCUUUCUUUGGUAUUAAAGCUAGGAUUGUCGAGUUUAAUCCUUUUGGUAAGAACCCUUUCAAGAAGAAAGAUUGAACAGCCACUGUAACAUCAUCUCCUAUCACCAACCACGACUCCUUGAAGAAUUCUGAGGUUUUAAAAAAAUUAAGUUUAUCCAACCAAAAAACUAUGUAAAAAUUUGGGUCUGUCAUGAAUAUUUUAUUCAAAAUUAAUUGGCAGUAAAUGAUAUAGUAAGAUUUCAUCGUUUAGUAACAUUCUUUUUACGUUCAUUUAUAGGCAAUUAUGGGAACAACAUCUACAAAGUCAUCCAUCAUUAGGUAGCUCUAAUACCAUAUAAGUUUUUGGAUUUUCAAUCUAAAACUAAUUGGCUGUAAGUUGUCGGCUCAAAUUUCUUGUAUAUUACGCAUGUUCCAUCAAAACUCAUGAUGUCAAAGCUUAAAUAUUUGCACAGACUCUCGAAAUAAUAGUCUAUAUAACCAUUAAUCUAGAUAAUAUCUCAACUCUAUAAAUCAAAUUUGGUCAGACCAACCGAACCAUUUAGAUCCGACUGAUUUAAGAAAAAUAUUUGAUAGGUUACUCGACUUAAACUCGCUAUCUGACUCGUACUCGCCUUGAAAAUUCAAGUAUUCGGUGUUUUCAAGGCAAGUAACAAGUCGACAAUUUUCAUUACUUGCAAGACCAAGUUAAGUGUCAAGUAUCAUUAUUAUUUUUAUUACUUGACUCGUUACUUGACCCAUUACUUGCUAUUUAUUACAUGAUCUGUUAAAUAAUUGUUUAUAUAUGUCUUUUUACUUGCAUUUAGAAUUAGACAUAAAUACUCAUUUAUCUUCUUAUACUUGUUACUUGUUUCGUAUCCGUCUUUAUUUUUAAAUUCUUGCCGUCAUCUAGUGAACUAUUUUAUAGUAACCAAUAUUAAAAAAAUUAGCUAUAUGGCUUGUUAUUACAUGUUAUUUGCUUAGAGAAGAUUUUUUUGUCAUUGUGAAAAUUAUAUAAUGCUUAUAUAUCGAAAUAUUCAUAUAUUUUUAUUUGUCUCCUUUAUAAUAUAAACAAAUAUUUGGUUUAAAGGAAUUCACAUGUUAGUUUAAGUAGAAUACACAAAACAAACUUUCAUGUUUAUUUCUAACAGAGUAUUAUUUAGUAAGUAGUUUUUAAAUAAUCAGAAAACUCGUAAAUAGUUCACAAGUACUCGUAAAUAGUAACUAAUAAAGCAAGAUAAAUAACUUGUAAGUAAUUUAUUUUUGAUCAAGUAUUCAAACUGGUAAGUAUUCGUUUUUAACAAGUCAAGUACAAGUCGAAAAUUUUAUUACUUGUAUAAGGCAAGUUAAGUAGCAAGUACACGCAAAAUAGUGAAUACUCGCCUUCUGCCCAGCCCUAAUCUCAACCAUUGUUUUUAUUACAACACACAAGAUUUGAGGCUCAAAGACAAGAAAAAAUGGGCAGGCCAGGUAUUGUACCUCCAGAGUCAAGAAUGUAUAUAUUUCCUGAGACAUAUCGAGAAGAGUCAUGAAUGAGAUAGCGAACCAGCGAGGUAAUUCCCGGAUCCACGGUCUGCUGCACCUUUAACGGUGUAGUCCUCUCGGUCACUUUCUUAAGCCACUCUUUUUGCAGUAGACCUUGAGUGAUCUCUGACUUAAGAAUCCCCGGUGCGAUCGAGUUCACUCUUAUAUUGUACACACCUAACUCAAUAGCCAUCAUCUUUGUCAUGAUGUCAACACCGCUUUUAGAACAAGAAUAUGCGACUCCACCGGGUAACAUACCGCGGUGGAGACCGGCGAUGGACGAGAUGUUUAUCACCGAGCCACCGCUUUUAGCGUCCCUCAUUAAACUGCAGACGUAUUUGGAUACUAACCAAGCUCCGGUUAAGUUGGUUCUGAAGACUCUGUCCCACUCGUCUUCAGACAAGUGCAAACACGUCUUGACAUUGCCUCUGAUUCCAGCGUUGUUGAUCAACACAUCUAUCUUUCCAAAGAUGUCCCAAGCUUGUUUGACCGCUUUCUGAAUGGUGGCUGCGUCUGAUGAAACGUCUAGCUCGA
rnacentral:lncRNA from 1 species